CAGUCGCCGCGGGAAUACGUAGGUCCCGAGCGUUGUCCGGAUUUAUUGGGCGUAAAGCGAGCGCAGGCGGUUAGAUAAGUCUGAAGUUAAAGGCUGUGGCUUAACCAUAGUACGCUUUGGAAACUGUUUAACUUGAGUGCAAGAGGGGAGAGUGGAAUUCCAUGUGUAGCGGUGAAAUGCGUAGAUAUAUGGAGGAACACCGGUGGCGAAAGCGGCUCUCUGGCUUGUAACUGACGCUGAGGCUCGAAAGCGUGGGGAGCAAACAGGAUUAGAGACCCCAGUAGUCCCUGUCUCUUAUACC
rnacentral:rRNA from 1 species